AGCAGCCGCGGUAAUUCCAGCUCCAAUAGCGUAUAUUAAAGUUGUUGCAGUUAAAAAGCUCGUAGUUGAAUUUCGGGGUCAGCAGGUCGGUCGUGCCACUGGUAUGCACUGGCCUUGCUGAUUCCUCCCUCUUGAUGAGCCGUAAUGCCAUUAAUUUGGUGUUGCGGGGAAUCAGGACUGUUACUUUGAAAAAUUAGAGUGUUUAAAGCAGGCAAGCGCUUGAAUACAUUAGCAUGGAAUAAUGAAAUAGGACGUUCGAUCCUAUUUUGUUGGUUUCUAGGAUUGACGUAAUGAUUAAUAGGGAUAGUGGGGCAUUAGUAUUCAAUUGUCAGAGGUGAAAUUCUUGGAUUUAUUGAAGACUAACUACUGCGAA
rnacentral:rRNA from 1 species